ACUCCCAAACCCCUGUGAACAUACCUAUACGUUGCCUCGGCGGAUCAGCCCGCGCCCCGUAAAAAGGGACGGCCCGCCCGAGGACCCCUAAACUCUGUUUUUAGUGGAACUUCUGAGUAAAACAAACAAAUAAAUCAAAACUUUCAACAACGGAUCUCUUGGUUCUGGCAUCGAUGAAGAACGCAGCAAAAUGCGAUAAGUAAUGUGAAUUGCAGAAUUCAGUGAAUCAUCGAAUCUUUGAACGCACAUUGCGCCCGCCAGUAUUCUGGCGGGCAUGCCUGUUCGAGCGUCAUUUCAACCCUCAAGCUCAGCUUGGUGUUGGGACUCGCGGUAACCCGCGUUCCCCAAAUCGAUUGGCGGUCACGUCGAGCUUCCAUAGCGUAGUAAUCAUACACCUCGUUACUGGUAAUCGUCGCGGCCACGCCGUAAAACCCCAACUUCUGAAUGUUGACCUCGGAUCAGGUAGGAAUACCCGCUGAACUUAAGCAUAUCAAUAAGCGGAGGAAA
rnacentral:rRNA from 1 species